CUUGUCAGUUGGGUAACUUUAUCUUGUUCUCUUUAUUCAUUGUUAUUGAUAGAGAUUGUUAAUUAAAUUAACUUUAUGUUUGUUUGCUCAGCAUCAGUGGGUGUUGAGAUGAUGUGUUUGAAACCUAUCACCUAACCUAAAUUCUAUCCCUUCCACCAUUUUGCCUUUGACUCAUUUUCUUUUUGGCUUUUGGGUUCCCGUCGAGAAACUGAUUUGGGGAGGGUACUACAUAGUUCCAGAUUUCUUUGCUUUGAGACGGGGGAUUGAAGAGAGAAGAAUUUAGACCUUGGUUUUGAAAGAGAGUACAAACUAAGCUUGUUUCUGGUUUGGGUAUUAAGAAGCUCGGGUACUAAGUCAAGGAUAUUUGGGUAGCAGGGUUGUGAAAGAGUGCCUGAGUGUUAAGAGUUCUGUCUUCCUUUUUUAGUUUUGAUGUUUUGGUGCCACUGGGCAUUAUCCCUUGCUGUAAGUGUUUUGAUUAUGUUUCUAUAUAAUUCAACUCUUGUACAUAUGUACUAUUGUAUAUAUGUAAUAUGUUUCUUUGGAGUAGUACGUUUAUAUAAAAUGCCAUGUUUUUUUUUUCCACUAAGAAGUGCUUAUUCUUUUACCUUCUUUUACUGUCUCUUGAGUUGUAAAUGGUUGUCAAAGACUCAAUGAUCUCUAUGAAUUUGGGAUCGGGGCGUGACAUGUAGCUUUGGUGGUGGGAGUACUAGGUAAUUGAACUUUCGAUCCAUCUCUAAAAUGGCCGUUGGUUGUAUAUUGGGAGCUAGCUAGCUGCCUGCUACUUUGAGAACAACAGAACACUGUCUCAUUUGCGGCGUCAACAACACCAUCAAUUCUCAUCUGGGACCGCUCCCUCAUUCAAGAAUCAGAUUUGGAGUUCCAAAAGCUUAAGUGAUCUUUUUGAGCAAAUGAGGCAGACCGGGGAUUAGAUUCCCUUAACCAUAUCCUGUGGAAGAUGAAGGAAUUUAAAGAAUUUGUCAUUUUUGUGAAAAAGGCGUUGAUGAUGAUUGUUAUCCAGACUGGAAUCAUGACCUCCUUGUGGCAUGGAAGAUUCUGGCAAUUGAGAAGCUUCCAAGGUUUCCACAUACCAUAAUUCUCGAAGGUGGAAGCAUCCAUGUAGAUGGAGAAGGGACUUGCCUCACUACUGAGGAGUGCCUGCUAAAUAAAAACAGGAACCUAAUUUGAUGAAGGAGCAAAUAAAGGAUCAACUUAAGGCAUAUCUUGGAGUGACGAAGAUUAUUUGGUUCCCCCGUGGAUUGUAUGGAUGAUGCUAAACCGAGACUUGCAGGCACAAGACUUGCAGCUUCUUAUGUGAAUUUCUACGUUGCCAAUGGAGCAAUCAUUGCGCCACAAUUUGGGGACCAAAAAUGGGACGAUGAGGCUGUCUGAAUCCUAUUGAAAGCCUUUCCAUACCAUGAAGUCUAAACGGUACAAACAAGAAGCUGCAAAAUUUAAAGCGGAGAUAGGCAUUCAAUGCUAGAAGGUUAUAGAACAAAUGGAAAACUUCCUUUGAAACCUAUUAUAUACUUCCAGACAUGGAGAGUUGGUACAGUUUAGUAUCACAGUGCUUCAUUUUUCCUAUAGGUUUUGGAUAUUCUAUUUCAUAUGGUUAUAAUCAGAUCGCCCUUAAUUUGUUGUUAUUCUGA